GACGAACGCUGGCGGCGUGCCUAAUACUUGCAAGUAGAACGCUGAAGAGAGGAGCUUGCUCUUCUUGGAUGAGUUGCGAACGGGUGAGUAACGCGUAGGUAACCUGCCUUGUAGCGGGGGAUAACUAUUGGAAACGAUAGCUAAUACCGCAUAACAAUGGAUGACACAUGUCAUUUAUUUGAAAGGGGCAAUUGCUCCACUACAAGAUGGACCUGCGUUGUAUUAGCUAGUAGGUGAGGUAACGGCUCACCUAGGCGACGAUACAUAGCCGACCUGAGAGGGUGAUCGGCCACACUGGGACUGAGACACGGCCCAGACUCCUACGGGAGGCAGCAGUAGGGAAUCUUCGGCAAUGGGGGCAACCCUGACCGAGCAACGCCGCGUGAGUGAAGAAGGUUUUCGGAUCGUAAAGCUCUGUUGUAAGUCAAGAACGAGUGUGAGAGUGGAAAGUUCACACUGUGACGGUAGCUUACCAGAAAGGGACGGCUAACUACGUG
rnacentral:rRNA from 1 species